GGGGAUUUAGCUUAGUGGUAGAGCACUUGCCUAGCAAGCGCAAGGCCCUGGGUUCAGUCCCCA
rfam:Rattus norvegicus chromosome 10, whole genome shotgun sequence.